GACCGCCAGUGAAAAUCGAUUUUCACUGGCGGUUUUAUUAGGUCGACCGCCAGUGAAAAUCGAUUUUCACUGGCGGUC
rnacentral:pre_miRNA from 7 species